rnacentral:tRNA from 1 species
UGUGUGUAAUUUAAAAAAAAUAUCAAACUGUGGCUCUGACUAUAGGAGAUUCUCCUCACAG